rnacentral:rRNA from 1 species
UACGAAGGGUGCAAGCGUUACUCGGAAUCACUGGGCGUAAAGCGUGCGUAGGCGGUUGGUUAAGUCUGCUGUGAAAGCCCUGGGCUCAACCUGGGAACUGCAGUGGAUACUGGCUAGCUAGAGUGUGAUAGAGGAUGGUGGAAUUCCCGGUGUAGCGGUGAAAUGCGUAGAUAUCAAGAGGAACACCUGAGGUGAAGACGGGUUGCUGGGCCGACACUGACGCUGAGUGCGCGAAAGCUAGGGGAGCGAAUGGG